AUCACUACGAUUAUCAAUUAUCAACACAAUUAAAGAUUUCUAAGCACAAGCAAGGUCUCGCAUUUUAAAUAAAGUUGCGAAGUUUUGGAUUUAAAAAAGUUAAUUAAUAAUUACUAAUUCAGUACUACCUCUGAAUUUACCUGGUAUAAUUAAAGAGGACAUAACCAAUACACAUAACUUUACAACUUCAUACGGUAGACAAUCUUGAAGAUUCUAUGGCCAUGGACGUCAGUAUUGAUGAAAGUAGUGAUUUUUCAGUCGGAAUAAGUGAAAGUGCAAUACAUAUAAACACGAGUGUGUCUGAUGAACUCAGAAAUGUUUCAGUUUUGAAUACUAGCUAUCACAAAUGUGUUGAAUGUUGUAUUAUUAUUAAUCAUAUUUUGUUUUUAGUUAUCAGUGGAGGUAUUUCAUUGUCUAAAUCUAAACACGGCAGAAAAAAAACUAAGUUGAAUGUGUGUUGGUAGAGAUCAAAAUGUAUAGAUAAAAAAAUUUAAUCACAUAUAAUAUACAAGCAAUACACAGAAGCUAGAACUCGAUUAAAAUGGCUGAUAAAUUUAUAAAUAUCAAUAAGAAGUCGUUGUGUGGACUAAAUCAGUUCACUAGAUAAUUCAUUGAAUCUCAAAAUCAAAUGCAAUCUCAGAAUCCUUUUUGAAGACAUUUAACUGUAGAUGAAAGAAUGCUUACAUUGUCUUUGUUCAAACAAAGUGGAAAAAUGUGUGAAACACUUUCAAAAGUCUUUCUUCUCGGAAAUGAAUCACAGAUUUAGAAAAAUUCCGUUUGAUAAAUAAAUUAAUAAAAUCAUAGUAUUUUAUUAUUUAAAAACUGCAGUAGAGAAAUUGAAAAAUAAACUAGAUCAUUUUUGUUCGGUAAUAUUUGAUGAAAUCUCAGUAUCUUCAUAAUUGCAGUUUAAAGAAGAAAUGGAAAACUAAUUGGAUUUGAAGACCUAACAAUAAUUGUUUACCAAACAUUUCUGAUACAGCACUUGUUUUUAUGGUUAGAGGACUCUGAAAAAUGUUUAAACAUCUAGUGGCUUUCUAUCUUACCAAUAGUAACACAAACAGUUUUAUCAAUUAUACUAAAAGAUGUUAGCUCCAUUCAAUGUUGCUCCUAUCAACCGGUUAAUAAAAUAAACUAGAGAAACUAGGUACUAAUCUUAAAAUAGAGGAACAAAUGAUGUAUUUGGUUUUAAAAUUAGAAGUCAAGAAAUAAUUCCACUCUUUGAUGUUCCACAUUUGCUUAAAGUUCUUAGAAAUAAUCUUUUAACUAAAGACUAAAAUUUCCUAUAUGAAAAUAAACAGUGUAAAACGCCGUGGAAUCAUCGCUCGAUUUUAUGAAUUUGAUAAAGAAUAAAGUACAGAAAAAGAAUGUCUUGUACCUAAGCUCUGUGACUCAUGUUUAACCAGAAAAAAAUAAAGAUGUCAAUUGCAGCCCAACCAUUCAGUCGGUGUGUUGAGCAAUCAUGAAAAAAAUGGCUAUAAUGACUAACACUUCACAUAACUUCAUCGAAGAACUGGUUGCAGUUGAAGUGAAUUCCUGCUCAUCUAGGAAAGUAACCAGCUGUAAAUACACAAAAAUAAAAAUACAAAAAUAUUUUAGUUUUUGAGCGGAACAAUGAAUGUAUUGAUUUGACAAUAAUAUUUGUUUUUUGUUAUUUUUAUUUUUUAUUUUUUGUGUCUGUACAUGAGUGUACACAUAGCAUUAUAUAUACGCCUUA